CGGACUCGUUAAUUUAUUAGCGAGUCAGUGGCGAAAGGGUGAGUAAUGAAUAGGUAACGUACCCCGAGCUCUGGGAUAGCCAUCCGAAAGGAUGGGUAAUACCGGAUAACCUCACGAGUCGAUGGGCUCGUGAGCAAAGAUUCAUCGGCGCGGGAGCGGCCUAUUUCCUAUCAGCUAGUUGGUGAGGUAACGGCCCACCAAGGCGAAGACGGGUAGCGGGACUGAGAGGUUGGCCCGCCACAUCGGAACUGAGACACUGUCCGGACCCCCACGGGGGGCUGCAGUACGAAUCUUGGGCAAUGGGCGAAAGCCUGACCCAGCGACGCCGCGUGCGGGAGGAAGUCCUUCGGGAUGUAAACCGCUGUCAGGGUCGUGAAAGUCCACUUCGGUGGAUUGAUCUAACCCAGAGGAAGUCACGGCUAACUCUGUGCCAGCAGCCGCGGUAAGACAGAGGUGGCUAGCGUUGUUCGGUAUCACUGGGCUUAAAGCGUGUGUAGGCGGAAGCGUAAGCAUUUUGUGAAAUCCCCCGGCUCAACCGGGGAAUCGCUUGAUGUACUGCGUUUCUUGAGGCAAGUAGGGGUGCGAGGAACUCUUGGUGGAGCGGUGGAAUGCGUAGAUAUCAAGAGGAACGCCGGUGGUGAAGACGUCGCACUAGGCUUGUCCUGACGCUGAGACACGAAAGCGUGGGGAGCGAACGGGAUUAGAUACCCCGGUAGUCCACGCCGUAAACGAUGCUUACUAGGUUGUGGCGGUUCUGACGCCGGCACAGCCGCAGCAAAAGUGUUAAGUAAGCCGCCUGGGGAGUACGGUCGCAAGGCUAAAACUCAAAGGAAUUGACGGGGGCUCACACAAGCGGUGGAGCAUGUGGAUUAAUUCGAAUCAACGCGCAGAACCUUACCUGGGUUUGACAUGCUUGGAUGCCUUUCUGGAAACAGAGUAGGCUGCCCUUCGGGGUGAAAACUUGCACAGGUGCUGCAUGGCUGUCGUCAGCUCGUGUCGUGAGAUGUCGGGUUAAGUCCCUUAACGAGCGAAACCCUUACCGUUAGUUACCAGCGGGUCAUGCCGGGAACUCUAGCGGGACUGCCGGUGUUAAACCGGAGGAAGGCGGGGAUGACGUCAAGUCAUCAUGGCCUUUAUGCCCAGGGCCUCACACGUGCUACAAUGGCCGGUACAAAGUGACGCAAGACCGCAAGGUGGAGCAAAUCACAAAAAAACCGGCCCCAGUUCGGAUUGUAGGCUGGCAACUCGCCUGCAUGAAGUUGGAAUCGCUAGUAAUCGCGGAUCAGCUACGCCGCGGUGAAUGUGUUCCUGAGCCUUGUACACACCGCCCGUCAAGUGAUGGGAGUUGGAAGUACCCGAAGUCGGUCUGCCAACCCGCAAGGGAGGCGACUGCCGACGGUAAGUCCGACGACUGGCACUAAGUCGAAACAAGGUA
rnacentral:rRNA from 1 species